rnacentral:snoRNA from 1 species
AAGACUAUACUUUGAGGGAUAAUUUCUAAGGUAUGUUACUACAGGCGUUUCUCUGAACAUGUGGGACUGGAAACCGGGAAGAGAAGGUACAGUGUUCUCUGCUUAGUGUGAAACAGACCUUUGGUGUUGCUUUGCUGCAACUGCCAUUUGCCCUGGGUGAUUCUUCUCUUCCUCCUGGAGAGUAAGAGGACACAGUCUGAGUGGU